rnacentral:rRNA from 1 species
UACAGAGGGGGCAAGCGUUGUUCGGAAUUACUGGCGUAAAGGGCGCGUAGGCGGCCUGUUAAGUCGAACGUGAAAUCCCCCAGGCUCAACCUGGGAACUGCGUCCGAUACUGGCAGGCUUGAAUCCGGGAGAGGGAUGCGGAAUUCCAGGUGUAGCGGUGAAAUGCGUAGAUAUCUGGAGGAACACCGGUGGCGAAGGCGGC